CAGCCGCCGGGCGCACGGAGCCGCCACCAUCUUCGCUGCUGCUGCCGCCGCCGCCGCGCUCCCGAGAGCCGCCGCAUCCGCCGCGGCACCGAGUUUUCAGCCGGGCAGAGCCAGACGUCAGCAGGAGGAGGGCGGAGAACAACACAAGACUCCUAAUCCCUUUAAUACAUAUGGAGGACAUAGACCUUUUCCCUGGGAAUCUGGAAUUUUUACUAGUCUAAGCAUCAAUCUGAAAGAGCAAAACAGGGUAAGAAAUUAUUCCUUGAGAAUUUCUCCAUCUCAGACUACAGGUCACUGUCUGCUCUGCAAAAAGUUCCCAAAACAUUGCUUUUUGGUUUUAAACACUGAUAUAUUGCUAGACUUCAAAGGUAGAGGAAGUGUAUUUUGAUUUUUUGGAACCACAGAACCACCAUUAACUUCAUGUUCUGCAAUUCAGUCAUUUUAUGGUUUACAUGUGUGUUCUUCACAACUCAGGUAUACUGUACCAUGGAAAUGCACUCUUCCACAUUUUCUUUUCAUAAACAAAACCACAAUUCUUUUCCAGGUACUCAUUUUACAUCAGGCUACUCUCCAUGUGGGUUAUAAAAUUCAGGAUCUCUCUUAUGUGCAUGGGCAGAACUAAAGUCUAAAGAGACGUGACCACUGCUUGCAAGAAAUGCCUUCCAUUUCUCAUAAAACUUGAGAUUCCAGCAAACAUUUCUUAAUCCACCCUGGUUUCAUUUUGCCACAUCACAAAUGCAAACUCUGGUGUCAAUGAAUAUGCAAAAGCCAAAUUUUUGACACCAACAUUUCAUUGUGGUAACACUGUCUAUAAAUUGUCAACUGAACAUACUGUGUCAGGAUUCAAAGACAAUAAAAGCAGGUUCUGUGUUCAGUUUGUAUGAAAUACCUGAUAUGGAUGUGGAAUGUAUAUUACACCUUUCUUGUGAGAGAUAAAUUUAGUUCAGGACCUUGGCAUAUGCUCCACUUCAGGAAGUGAAGGAAAAUGGAAGAAUUAUUCCCUUCACCAUCACAUUAAAGCAUCCCUUUUUCUUUAUAAUCUCUUGCAUAAAAACCUUUUACUAUCAAUGAGGGGAAAUGGCUGUAUAUGUACUUUAUAUACAGCCCUCCAUGUUGUGACAGCUUUUUCUUUCAGCCAGUGGUCGAGGAUAAUCACGGAAGGAUUACCCAUCUGUUCUUGCCAUGUGGCAUUCUGUCUCAGUAAGAAGAUACUGCAGUUCACAGCUUCCUGCAGUUCUUUUUUUUUUCUGAUGUUCUCUCAUUAACUAAAAAUUGUUUUAUUAACCAUCUGAGUUGCUAAGUUGGAAAGUCUGGAAGACUCAUGAAGGUGACCUACUUUGGAUUAUCUAAAUUAGAACUAACUGCUGCCUGUUGCAAAUAUCAUUUUGUUUGGAUGCAGAAGGUUUCUUUGGCUUGGGCUUUCAUUCUAGGUUUUGCCUUUUUUUCUGUCCACUUGAUGGAAAAAGACAAGUGGUACACAAAGAAGGAUAAUCAAAGGAGAAGAGAUGGAAAAAAAGACUUUUUCACUAAGAGUUGACUUUGUAGGUUGGUUUUACAUGAUUAGCCAGUUUUUCAGAACACCCAAUAGUUUUCAGACUACAUUUGCUAUGAUGUCAUACCAGUGCAAAGUAUAUGUAGAGAUUUAUCCCAGUAAUCUCCUGAAACAUGUUCUAUGUGUCUAAACUCCUACUGAGUUAUCACUAUUGCUGCAGGAAGAAUGACUAGAAAGGAAACAAGGUUUUAAAGAAGAUUUCAAUAGUCUUUCAUUUUUCCUAACACUGGGAAAUACAGUAUUUUAAAGACAAAGUUUUAUUCUUAACCUCCUGAUAUGAUACAAAUUCAUCUGCAUAAAAGCUUGCUCUGAAAACAUAUUAAAUAGCGUGACUGUUCUUCAUGAACAGAGCCAUUUUGUGGUAGUUGAUUUAAUACAAGCUUUUCUGUCAGGAAACAUUGUUUAUGAUGGUGUGUCAAACCCGGUAUUGGCAGCCUCAGCAGAUCCUUUGCUACCACUGAUGCACUCGUGUCCCUUGUGCACACUGGGCAGUCCCACAGAGCAGAACGUGUCAGGUGGGGCUGGAACUCUGCCAGUGUGUGACAGGGACAUUUGCCUGAGCUUCUGCAUAAAGUCUCCAAACCCUUGGACAAAGCUUCCCAGGGCAGGGAGUGUGGGAAGUGCAUCUGGGCCAUUUUUCCUGGGAGAGGGGAACUGAGCAGGUACCCUGAUUUCCUACUGCAGUUUCUAACAGCUGAGUUGGCAAAAGAGUGUUUCAGCUUCCCUCUGACACCAGUCUGCCAACACCAUGGGCUAUGUGGGAUAUUACAGAGCAAAGACAAUUAUACAAAUUUAAGCAAGCAAACUUGAUAAUUAUCAUUAAUCUUUCUGUAUUUAGAAAGUCAUUAGUAAAAACAGGUGCAAAAAUCAGUUUGGCUAUAAUUUGGAUGCUACAAGAAAAGGAAGUUUUCAGAUGUGCCUUAAAAGACAUACAGGGUUUGUCUUUUUUUUUAAGAGUAAGGCAUUAGUCCAUGUAUGGCAAAGUUGACUGUGUCAUACAUUUUAUCUGUGUCAUACAUUUAUCUUCUGAGCUGGAUGGGACCCACAAGGAUCAUCAAGUCCAACUCUUAAGUGAAUGGCCCAUACAGAGAUCCAACCCACAACCUUGGCACUAUUAGCACCAUGCUCCAGCCAAGUGAGCUAAUCCCAGUGUUGGUCUGUAUGGUUUGGGCUUCAUAAUAAUUUCUGCUUUGAUGAACUUGAGGACUGGAAGGAAAAAGAGCUGGUAAACCUAUCUGUCCACAUCAGCAACCUCACAGAAAACACACCAGCCCCCUGCAAUUUGCAGAGCUGUGCUGCUGACCGUGCCUGAGCAGAGGCUACUGUGCAGUGCUGGCUUGCACACACUUGUAAUCAGUGGUUUGUCUGCUGGUGUGUCAGCCUGCAGCUGCACAAGUCAGGUGUGCAUGGACAUGGCCCAGUUACACCACAGAACAGCAUAUAUUUUCAUAACCACUUUUAAGGAGAGGGCAUGGUUUGGUGCCCACCAUUGCAGCUCCAUCAGUUUUUAAAAUUGAUACUCAUCUCACAUAGAGGCACUCUGGAUGUGCUGACUCUUCAAUGAGGGCUGCUGGAGGCAGAGGCUUGUUUGCUCUGUGGUCUCAUUGAGGGAGAUACUAAAUUCUGCUGCUUCUACUUCAUUCAGGUCUGCCUUAUAAGAGGGAGAUACAUGACUGCAGUUCUACCUUUUGUACAGUACAGUUCUUGCCAUGAAAACUCAGUGCUGAAAUUACUGGUUCCUUCCACCUAUUUCGUUAUUAAGCUGUGGGUAUGACACACAUCUGACAACUCGUUUUCCUGGAGAACAUUCUGCUCCAAAAGGCCAGGAGGUGUUUGCCACUGUUGUGAUGUGCAGGAGACACCUGCCUGCUCAAAUACCUAAAUGCCUGUAUGCACAAAACCCAGGAUAUGCAUGCAUAGGCCUUUUGAAUAGACAAGGAGAUGCCAUGGAUAAAAGUGUAGCUCCCAGAAUACAGAUUAGGGAUUGGAAUUUAAAUUGCAAUAUUUUACCCUAGGACUGAUGCUAAAAGGUUUUAUGUUUCUUGCACAGGCAGAGAAAAUUAAGAAAAUAAACUAAAUAUUAUUCAGUGAAAGGGAAAAUAAGUAGACCCUAAGUGACUACACUGUGCCCUUAAACAAUUCAAGUAUUGUAUUCUCCAAAUUAAAAUACAAGAUAAAUUCUUCAGGAAGUCCAUAUAACAAGUUAUUUGUCCAUAUUGUGCAAGUCACCCUUAAGAUCAAACAAAAUGUUAUGAUGAAUUUUAAUCCAACUUCUGAAUUGUAGUAAAUUUUGACAACACAUGAAUGAUCCACUUCAACACAAUCUGCAUUUUCAACACAGUGACUUGUGUGACAUAUGGCUCUUUUGCCCUGGGAUGGCUUCUAGUAUUGCAAUUUGAUGUAAUAGUGGCACACACCUUUCUUGAUUAGUGAAAGUUCUUCAUUAGAUCUUUCUUUUGCUGAAAAGUAUUAUAAUAAAAUAUUUUAUAUGUCUCAUGAUGUAAAUAAGCACUUGAAAUUCCUAUAAAUUCAAGCAAUUAGAUCUCAACCCAAGAAAGCACUUAAUGACAUUUAUGGUCCCAGUGAGUUUGGGGACAUAUGCAAGGGCUUCAAUCAAAACAUGUACUUAGGAGCUUUGCUGGAUUGAGGCCUUACAAAAUGAUGCUAUGCAGAUCAGAUACUAUUCAUAAAAUAUUAUUUAGUGAAUAAGGUAAUUUGCUUAUUAGCCAAAAAAGAGGCUCUAGAAUCCUUCUCAAAAAGUUAUAUACAGGCAGAUCUCACAUUGCUAUUACCUCCUUAACCCUGAUCCUCCAGAUUUACACAAAUGUUGAGGAGACUAUAGCUGAUCCUAUAUAACACUGAAAUUUCUCAAAUGGCCACAUUCUUGCCUGGAAACUGAACCAACAAAUUUGGUAGCUCAUUCUGCUAGAUGAACUCCACUGAAACAGAUUCUUACCUCACACUUAGAUUUACCUGAGCACAGAUGAAAAAUGCAAAGAGGAUCUGUAUCAUUUAUUUUUAAGCCCCAUGUAGUGAAGAAAAAGGCAUAUUAUGCAUUUCAUGCAUUAUUCUCUACUUUGUGCUGUAGAUAAUUGGCAGAGCUUUUCAGUGAAAAAACAAUCUGACCAAAUUCUCAGAGCCUCAUGCUCUGCAAAAAUCUGUCUUAAGUUAAUCUAUAUUACAAGUAAUAUUCAAGUUGACUGCACUCAUAUGAAAAAUGUAUUUAGAAAGGUCUAGAAGAUACAAUCUGCUAUUUCUUGCCCAACUUUGUUCCCUGCUGUUGUUGGUCUCUCACGGGAUUUCUUGCAGAGUGGUUAAGUGAUCUAUACUGAGGUUUCAAAAGCAAAGAUAAUAGGAGUUCUAUUCAUGGGUUAAACACUUAGCUGCUUUAAUACAAGAUGUGUAGGAGCAGCCCCUAAUGACAUUCAAAUCUUGUUAUUGCUGUGCUUCAGUAUAGGAUAUACUUGGUUUUGUGGCUGCAAGAAGCAAUUGCCAGAGAUGACUGUAAAUCCCAAACAGCAAAUAAAUCCCAGCAUAUGGAAAAGAUGCCUGAUUUUGCUCUCACAGCAGGGCAUCUUUGGACUUCACCGUGCUGGCUCCUGACUUACAGCAAUGCAAGUGACCCAGAGCAAUCAGUGGCUGGUCCCAUAUCUACCCUGGGGUCUGGCUGCAGGGGCACCAGCUCUUAGCUUCACAUUGGCAUAACAUUUCUAACCCUGCUUUGUAAAACACUGCUGCCUGUUCUUAGAGUCCUGGCCAUUCCCCUAAAAGCAGUAUUAUGGCAAGCUCUGAGCCUUCAGUAUCUUUGAAUCACAUGUCCAACUUACUUUUCUUAUGUCCUCCAAGGCUUGCUAAUACUUGUCCUCAUUCCCUGGUGGAGAUAAUUCUACUGAAAACAUACAGGAACACUCCUACAGUUCCUCAAGCAAAUUUGUUUGACAUAGCUCAGACUAUCCAUUUAUAAAUUUUAAACUUACCCAGCUGGCUCUGUCAGAAGCCUAUUAGGCAGGACUCUCACAAACUGCUCUCCUUCAGAGCAGUAAAGACUAUUUGAGAAUGGUGAUCUUGUCCUCUGACACAGCUGGACUGGAAAGGAAGUAGAAAUGAGUGAAAAGAGCAACCCCCUCCCCGGGUUUCUAAGUAAUUGUGCAAAAGGGCUAAAAAACUGCUUAGUCUUGCUAUGGAGAAAUGAAAAUGAGCACUCUGAACAAGGAGAAAUAUUUCUGUCUCUGCUGUUCUUUGCUUCCUCCUCUGGACUAACCUGCAAAAUAUCACUGUUGGCCAAGCAGAAGUGUCACAGAAACAAUUAAAAAUCUUGUGGAGGAGAAAGUGCUGUAUGCUUUACCACCCCUUGCUAAAAGUCAAUGAGCAAACCAUCUAAGUCCUUAACCCAGCAUGGGGUUACAUUGGAAAUGGCAAAUUCUGUGACACAGCCUAUCUGUGCUGUGUCAUAAGGGGAAAAAAGAGAAAUGAAAAUAUGUAUCUUGGGACAAUAUUAGUAGAUAAGCUUACGGCCUUUAAAUAUACAUAAGACUGUUGGAAAGAGAAAAACAAUUAGUUGUUCUGAGUUCAAUUACAACAAGAAAAUGUUUAGAAAGACAUUAAUAAAACUUUCUAGGCACUGUUAAGAUAAUUUAGGGAAGUUGUGAGAUCUCCAAAACAGUUUAGUUGAAUAAGCUGUUGGAGUGGCUUAAGUGCUUCUGAUUUUCCUCGAGAUCAAAAUGACUUUUCAGGAUCCCUUCCAUCCCAAUAUGCUGCAAUACUACAGAACACGCUAGCAGGGGAACCAAAGGGGCAGGAGCCCUUCAGUUCUAUGUGGAAACAUAGUUGAAUUUGAUGUUUCCUAUCUGCAAAUCAGGAUGCUAGAAAAAUAAACAGUAUUAAUAUACAGUAUUAUUUCACUGAAAGAAUCUUGAGAAACAAUUGCAAUAAGAAGAUCCAGUCAUGGCUUAAGAAAUGUUUGCAAAGAGCAGAAACAGGAGACCAGAAUUCAGUGUUUGUGGAAGGCUGGCAGCCCCCCAGGAGAGUGCUGCAUUUCCCACCCCAGCGGGCAGUGGCAGCGAGGUCGGGCAGUGCCUGUGAGCUCCAGCAGAGCCCUGUGUGGGCAGCUCCUCUGAGCCCCUCAUUCAGAGCUAAUUCUGCUUUUCAUUGACUGAGCUCACCCUGCAGUUAUUCUGCAGGUAGAUCCCUGGCUGUUUCUUGCAUGUUGCAUGCACUGCAACUGCGUGGCCGAGAUUGCCCCUCUCCUUCAGAAUUCAUGGUGAGCACAGCCAUUACAGCAAACAGCUAAAUACGGCUUUUGGCCGCCAAAUUUCACUUUCAUUGCUGUCAGAACAUCACUUAUCAUGGCUGGGCUAUAAUUUUCAGGCUUGUAAAACCUCAAUUGUCAUGUUUGGAUUUUCUUUAACACUUAUUAUAAAUGCAUGAAUUUGAUUUGUGUAGAAUGGAAUGACUCUCGGUGGCUCAGGGAUUUGGCAAAAAGCUUCAUACAUUUCAUCAAAAUUCUGUUUGGCCUAGAGAGGCGUUACAAUUCUAGAUAAAAAAUGUGUUUUUUUAAUACAGAUGUAAUUUGUAAUAGAAUGUUCCAAAAUAAUUCUGUAUUACAGAUGAACUGAAACAAAACCAACAUGAUCUUUUCCUCUCUACCAUGGGAAUUAAUUCAGAUUGAGAAAAAGGAAUUGGGAGAGUCUGAUUUGACACAUUUUGCAAAAUACAUGGUGGGUGAGUGCAGGGGAAGGAAGCAAUUCCAUCACCUUGAGCAGGAGGCCAAGAAGUGAGCACAUACAGUUCCUUGCAGUAAUCCUUGGAGCUGUCUAGGAGCCUUAGGCAGUGUUAGGGAGCAGCAAUAUUUGUGUAAAUCAUAAUUAGUAACAAAGCAAAUUACAGUGAGAGCUCUUUGGUAAACAGAAAGAGGAAGUCUGCUGAAAUUUGCUUCCUUUUAGUAGGACAAUUUGGAUUAUUUAUAGGCAUCUGAACAUUUGGAAAAAUCUAGGAAGAAUCUGAAAAUGCCAUGUUUCUAAAACAAAAGAUAAAGUUUUACCCUUUUUGGGUCAUAUAACUUGGAUCUAUAUUUACACUGGGUUGAAGCUUUUGACUAAGCAAAUACAUAUGCAUGAAAUCUUAUUUUUACACUUAAUUUUGGUGUUUUGGUAAAUGCAAAUGAUGGAAGAAGUUGACAUGAAUAAAUUGGCACCAGCUUAGAAGUCACCUCACUGCAAAGCGAGAGACAUUUGGGACUGUUCAUCACCUUGCUGCAGGGAAGGCUUCUGGUGUUAAGUCAGUCAGUCUCAUGUUAUGUAUCAGGAAUGUUUUCAACUCUAGGCUGAGGAUCUACAAGCUCUUGAAGGAGCCAAGAAACAAAUGCAAUACUUGAGCAUGUUUACUGUAAAAUGAAGGGCUAUUUUAUCUCAAUCAAAUAAACCAACAAGUGAACUGCAAAUCUGAUACUGAAAUAAAUCCAAUUUACUCUUGGGUAAUUGCUUAUUUGAUUCUCAACUAUGACAUGAAGUUAGAAAACAAAUUGAUAUUCUGUCACUUCUGUUUCAGUAAACUUAACUCAAACAAGUUGCCCUUUAGGUGCAUCUUGGAUAGAAUGGUACUUUAUCUUCAUCCCAAGGAAAUCAGUGUAUUAAAUUUGUUUGAAAAAUUAUUAUCCAAACCAUGACUCCUUUUCAGACAGCGUUUGAACUGCAUACUAAAAAGGCCAAAUUUCCCCUGAGAGCCAGCACAAGCACAGGGAAGAUAAGUACUGUGGUAUAUCCUCCCUCUGCAAGAAAAUGUACCAGCAGCAAAGACACAACAUAACCACAGAGAAACUCAGUGAGCACAGAAACUGCAGAAAUCUUGUGGGCAUGGGCAUCUUCCUCUUUCCUCAUGGCCAAAAUACAAUGCUGAUGUGACUCAGCAUUUCAGGAAUAAGCUAUAUAGACCCUAUACUGCCUCAGCCAUGAGCAGAGUACUAAAUCCAGCACCACAUCCACAGUGGUGAAGUUAAUAAACUGAAAGGUGUCAAAACCAAAGGAGUAAUGAAAGGGCAGGGAAUAGGGGGAACACCCUUUCUGCUGAGAAGUUCUAGGGGCUGAAAACGUUUGUUGAAAUAAAAGAGAAUCAAGAUUCACACAAAAAAAACGAGGCUAUGUUGUUUAGCACAGCUGAGGUCAGGAAAGGGGCUGGCUGACUCUGCAGCUGGGACUGCAUGGAAAGGCUGGGAUUGAAACUGCCCAUAGGACACUCACCCUGGACUCACAGGGAGUCAUCGUCAUCAUCUCUAGUUUAAAGGUCACAUCAAGGCAGGUUUAGGAAAAAAAGAAAUUCCCUUAAAUGGUCCAAGGUAUAACUAAUGUCUGUGCAAGCUGAGAAAAGAUUACAAAAAUGGACCCUGUUUUUUUAAUAAUUUUUCAAUUUAUAAAUGUAGGGAAAUGGUUGUUCUGGACAAAUUACCAUUUUUGUGAUAUAUUCUACUUUAAUUAUAAAGAAUUUUGGAUUAGUUCAUAUGCUUAAAGCUACACUAAUAAAAUUAGAGUUACAGAAGCAGAUAUUAAUUAAAUAAUGAGGUAGGACAAGUUAAGACAUGGCACUAAGUACCAGUAGGGGUGAGUUAGCAGUUUGUAGGAACCAGGAACAUCAAGAAAGAAUUUCCAGAGCAGUCCAAUUCCACCCAUUCAAAAAUUCUAUUAAUGUAUAUUUAUACUCUGCAUACAAUAACCAUUACUACAGCUAAAAUAUUUAGAUUUUAUGUAAUAUGUACUAGUUCCUCUGCUCUGGUACCCUUGGCCCUUAGGUAAUAAAUAACAUUAGUUUUUUUAGGCUUGUCAAGGCAUGUCUUUAGGAGACUGUGGAUAACAUCCAGGUGACUCUUCUUUAUAUCUUCCUUGAAUAAGAAGGUUGCUACACAUGGUUUGCCUCUAAAUAAAUUACAUGUAGAGGGAUCUUGUUUUGUAAGAUCUUUCUCAAAAUCAAAAGUAUUAGAGCUUGUAAAAAUAAGGUCUCUAAGACUGGGUAAACUCAGAUUUUUCAACAAAUCCUCAGUUCCAAACCAUCAUCACUUUCUCUGAUUGGGAAUUUUCUACAGAAAAACUACAUCUUCUUUUCAUUUUGCUCUUCACAGUUACUUGAAAAAUUGAUGUUUCACUACCAGAAUUUGUGUUUUACAAUUGAUUACCCACUUUGUGGUUGUCCUAUGGAAAACAUCCCACGGGAGAGCCAUGAGGCUCACAAAAAGUUUCAAGACCUAUGUAUGAGCACCUUCAAAGCAGAAGCAAAAAUCCAUUUACAUUUGCACAUGUAGUUGCUUUAAUUAGAACCAUGGAUUUAUCUGUAUAAGUAAGCACAGGGCAAAAUUACUUUCAAAAGAAAUCAGUGACUUGAAGAACUCUUUUUCUCCCCCGCCCCUUCCCUCCACUUCAUCCCAUUGUAAGUAACACUGCAAGUGUUGAUUAUUUUAAUAAAACAAAAAUUGAAGAAAGAACAAACCCCAAAGAAGAUUUAAGUGAUCUGCAAUGUGCAGUGGAGUGUAGAUCUGUGAAAGGGCCUGCAGGGGCUCCUCUUGCUGGGAGAAGCUGAUGUUGCUGUGUCACAGUCACAGGGUCUGUGCUGCUCUGAGAGCCCUCCCCAGCAGAGGUCCCUGGGUGCAAAUCAGCUCUUGUCACCAGCCCAGCAAUCCUGUUUCUGUCACCGGGGUUUUACAUGCAAUAAGGUCCUUCCCUGGGAGCUGAAGAUCACAGCUGGGACACAGAAAAGAGGUGGCACAGAGAAAUGUGCUAGAGGGACAAACUGAGGGGGAUUUGGAUUAGAAGAUUCAGAGGCUGGGGUGAAUUUGGUGAAAAAAACCACAAUUUUUGGGCAUUUAACCAGAACUAUUCUGUUUAGAACUCAACCGAAAAACCUGAUGUUAGCAUAACACCAGAACAAAACAACCUCUUCAGUCCCAGUAUGUAGGUAUGUUUUCCUGUUUUUUCAAAAUUGUGGAAUAAAUACCUGCCCUGAUUUACAUGUAAUGCAGUGUAUUAAAUUUUUAGUGUUUCUUCUAGGCUCAGUACAGCUCUUUCAUCCCCACUACCAUUAUGCUAAUGAUGUAGUGAAAUAACAUUGAUUUUAAAACUGUCAUUUUAUUAUUAAAAAAAAAAUCCAAACAGAUGUAAAGCCUAAAAUAUUAUUUUUCCCCCAAAAUCAGAAUAUUGUUGUCCUACCCUACAGCACCUGGAUUAGGAACAAAGGUGAAGCCAUAAACCUGAGUAUCAGGAACUCCCUUGAAAUGGGAGUGGAGAGGGAAUACAGAACCCACAAACAACAAAAUAUCUGAAGGAAGAAAUGCAACAAAAAUUGGGUAAAAUUAUCCCUUGAGUAAUGCUGGAUGAAGUCCAAACUAAAAUCACUGAACGGUGAAGCUAUUCCAAUUUAUGCCACAGUAACAUCAAAAUACUUCCUUCUCCUCAAUAAACAUCCUUUAAUUCUUUCUGGAAAAUGGAAGAGUACCACAUGUGACAAGUGUUCCUAAGCAGCAUGCUGAGCACCAAAUGUGAACUAUAAUUCAUAAUUCAUGCUCAAUUAAUCAUAAUGUAUAAGGAAUGGCUCUGUUAAUGCUUUUGCUAACUACCUAACCUAUUUUGAGAGAUGCAGGCAGAAUUUCAGCUCUUGUGACUUGCUGUUGUAAGUGACAGACUAUGGAUACCCCAGCAGCUGUCAAAGUCACCAGCCUUCCCUCAAUGAAGAGAAAAGCAAUUCUCAGUAUUGCAGGAAGCUAAGAAAAGCUCUGAAAAGCAGAAAUGAAAGUAUGUGAGGGUGGAGAACGCUAUCUUUUCUCAUGUAAAUCCCGAUGAAAAGCAGCCUCUGUAAUCCAAGCCUUGCAUCAGACUAAGAUUUGAAACAACCUCAAUUUAGCAAAGGAGCAAUUUCCUAGUGAUACAACUGAAAGAGAGGAGGUCUGGUGUCUCCAGGUAUUGUUCUGGAGUUAUUUUUACAGGACAGCCAGGGAGCAAAUCCUGAUUUAGGGGAAGAAGCUUUACCUUCACAUGCUACUAUUUUUGUUAAUCAGAAGGAGGAGUUAAAAAUGGACUGGCUCUUUGCUCUGCUCCAUUCACAUUCUGACAGAGGAAACUGAUUUGAGUCAUUAAAGCCACACUCACAGCUGAUUCUGCCCCAGAAUCUGUUUGUGGAUAUUAAAAAGCUGGACUUCAUGGUCCACCAUUUCUGAGCUGCAUAAACUGCCAAGAAGAGUGAUAACGUGAUGAAUCCUGAAAUCCUCUGGCCUAAUUUGUGUCAUGUACCCCACAGGUAUGGUGAUAUUCUAGAAUGCCUGCAGCAUAUUCAGCAGCAGGUUAACCCCUGGGAGGAAUGGGAGCACCGAUGCCACCUCCACAGCUGAACUGUGCACCUCUGCAAAGAGCCUCCCUGCAGGUUUUGGAAUGCAGCAGGGCUAUACUAAUGUGUGCAAAAGAGAUGGAAAACCAGGGCUGCUCACUCCUGUGUAAUGACAAGAGAUGGUGCAGGGUAACUUGGCCCAGACGUGGCUGGAGCUGGCUCUCUGCUCAAGGAAUGCAGUUGGGCCAUCCACAAGCAGAAGGAUCUGCUGGUGAAACUUUCUUACUCAAGCGUGGGGCCCUGGUCUUUCAUCUAACAGAGGGGGAAAAUAGAUGGAAACAAGACUUGACUGCUGCUGAUUCAUGGGGUAUUGCACCAAGCCACAAAGAGAGGUAAACUCUGGACUGCUAUUUUGAGGCCUCUUACUGAUCUUCAGAAUAGCAGAGCUUUUCUCCAGCCCUCAUCCCAGCAGCAAUGACACAACUGAAUGGACUCUUCCGUGGGUUUGGUAGCACAGAGCUCCCCCAGGACACCUUGGCCUGUGCCUACAGAAUCUGGGAGUCACACAUGAGCCCCACCCAAGCACCAUAAAAAUGACUGCUGCAGAUCCUGGCAUUCCAACACAUUGAUGAGUCAAGAAACAACAGCUUGGCACAACCAACGAGAACACGAAAUUUGCAGUCGCUGAACUAACAACUUCCAGCUCAAAGACCUGUGGCUGUAUUCAAUUGGUAUCAGUCCAAAUGGCUGAGCAUUUCUUAGGGAAAACAAGAGUCAGAAGUAGAGCAGAGCACUCCCAGGGCUGCUGGGUUUAGAGGAGCUCAGCUCUGCCCUCAGCCUGAGCCAGGCUGCCUUACAAUCAGAUAUUCUCCUCAGGCAUUGCCAGGGUAGGGGAGGAGACAAAUCAUCAAAAAGGAGCCUUGCAGCGUGCAGAGAGAGCACCAUGCUCUGCUAUUGAAGUGCAGGGUCUGCCCUUGCACAUCUGUGCUGCCAUUUAGUCCUUACAGACUGAUUCCUUCUCUCCUGGGAAUUGCAGCUCAUUCAGCAUUUCCGCUGCUUUUCCCUUUGCUGAUGUGCAGUGGGUUUAACUGGACUUCACACAUGGUCAAGUAUGUACAAUUUUGUUAUUAUCAUGCAAACUACUGCCCUUAGGACUGAAAAGCAUCUGCCUCUCAGAUGGAAGCAUGGAACUUCUUGUCCAGGGUGAGGAACCAUUAAUACCUGUGAUGAAGUUUCCAGGCCUCAUAAGGACACUGGGAGUCCUGCAUGGUUGUUGGAUAAAAAAAAAAAAUGUGCAGUUGUUUCACAAACAGCUAUGAGGCCCCUGUUCUCUUUGAUUGUAGCCAUUGGUGAAAAGACAAUUUCUCAUUAGGCCCUUUCUAUGGUCCAUGGAAUGAAAAGCAGUUUGUCCAGCACGAGGCCAGGACAGGCCCCAGCAAAGCAUCUGAAAUCCAGCUGCUAAUCAAGAAUGCCUUUGCUGGUGGGAUCCACAACUGGAAUUGCUUAUGGACCCAUCCAAAGCCAUGUACAUGCCAGAUCCUCAGGAGCAUUAUUCUCACACAACUGUUCUAACCUUGAGGAUGACUUGAGCUCUCAUCAGCCAUCUGCCUUACAAUAAGUUGACAUCCUUAUGUAUUCUCUCCGCCAAAAGGCAACUUUUAAAAUGCUAUUUAAAAAAACUGUGUACAAAUUAAACAGUCAACACGUUUUACUGCUGCUCAGUAACUGAAAUGUUUUCACUAUACUAUGCAAUCUAUAACUGCUGAAAUUACUUUCAUGUGUGUUUAUAAGUCUUCCUAUAUUUUCUCCUCAUUACUCCAAAUACAUUUUAAAAGCUUGUUAAGAUAGAUUUGUUGGUAUUUUAUAUCUAGCUGACUGUGCAUGUUAAAGGCUUCAACUGUAACUUUCCUAACUUGAAACACACUAUUCUUCAUGCUUCUUGCUAAAACACAUAUCAUUGCAACCAUGUACAUUAAUUGGCUUGUCUGGGGAAACAGAACUCAGUUUAUGAAGUCUGUCAUCCUGCUUUGUAGCUUAAUUAUAAAAUAAAAUUAAUUUUCCU